ACUCAGAUCAUGUUUUUGAUAAACAGGCGACCGGCCGCCUGUUUAUCAAAAACAUAGCUUGUUGUUUUUUAUAAUAAGUGUUCCCUGCCCGGUGAUUCUAAACGGCUGCGGUACUCUGACCGUGCAAAGGUAGCAUAAUCAUUUGUUCUUUUAUUGGGGACUGGAAUGAAUGGGAGUUUGGGAUUCCGUCUGUCUUUUCUUUAAGUUAGAAUUUGCUGUUUUUGUGAAGAAGCAAAAGUUUUCGAAAAAGACAAGAAGACCCUAUUAAGCUUUAUUUUUACUCUUUUACUAUUUCUUUCAAGUAUUUUUGUAGCAGGAUUAAAAAUUUGGUUGGGGUGACUAAAGAAGAUUAAAUCUUCUUUUUUUAAAUUGACUUUUGGUCAAAUAAUGACCCAAGAUUUUUUUGGUUUAAAGAAUUAGUUACUAUAGGGAUAACAGCGUAAUUUUUUCGGAAAGUUCUUAUUGAAGAAAAAGAUUGCGACCUCGAUGUUGACUUGUCAUAUCCUAAUAAGGUGCAGAAGCUGUUAGGGUCAGUCUGUUCGACUGUUAAAAUGAUACAUGAUCUGAGUUCAGACCGG
rnacentral:rRNA from 1 species